rnacentral:misc_RNA from 1 species
UGUAGCUGGGUGGUUUUGGGUGGUUCGCGAGGCCGGGCAGUGGUGGGUGAGUGUGUGGUGUGAGCACGGCCUUCCCUCCUGCUGCCUGCCUCCCUGCCUGCCUGUUUGCCUGCUGGUCAGUGGCUCCCUUCUACUCGACACAUAGGCUCCUCAGAAGGGGAGUAACCCGCGGGGCAGCACCAUGGCUCCGGGCGACGGCAGAGGCGGCGGCGGUGGUUUCCGAAAGAUGAUGCUGGGAGGUGUUCUUCUGUCCCUCUCCCUCCUGCUCCUCCACCUCUACCCUGUGCAAGGAGAAAACCCGUCCUACAGAGAAUGUCAGCCUCACAUCGACGCCACCAUCAGAAAUCUAGCGGCCAAGGCGAUAGUGGCCGGGGAAACGCCCUCUGAGGACAUCAAACCCGAGGACUACGCCAUAGACGAAACAGCCACGCCGGUAUCAGAAGAACCACACCAACCAGAAGAGGUGGAGGAAGCAGAACCAGAACCUGCAGUAGAACCAGAGGAGGAAAAACCGGAAGAAGAACCAGAAGAAGAACCGGAACCUGAAGUAGCAGAGGAAGAAGAGGAGGAGGAGGAGGUGGUGGAAGAAGAACCAGUAGUGGAGGAGGAACCAGAGGAAGAGGAGGAGGAAGUGGAACCAGAAGCACCUGCAGAACCAGAAGAGGAGGAGGAGGAGGAAGAGGUAGAAGCACCAGUAGAACCACCAGUUGAACCCGAACCAGUGAAGCCAGUCGAACCGGAGAAGCCAGCAGAGAGUGAACCGAAAAAGGCUUCCCCGAAACCCGCAGCGAAAGAGGAGACGAAGCCCACGCCCACGCCCAAGCCAGCACCCGUAGAGAACAUUGGCAUCUUCAACAAGUUCAUCAAGCUUGUGUUCGGCCUGCCAAAGGAGGAACGUUCAGCCAAGUGGUCCGAGCCAUGGCAGACACACCCGGAGCACCAGAGGAAACCCGCCGCUGUCAAGGAGAAGGAAGAGAAGAAAGUGUACGGGGCGAUGGGCGGCCCUAUUGACAAGCUGGUGAGGCUCAUCUUCCCCGUGCAGGAGGUGAAGGAGAGGAGCGCCAAGUGGGCCCAGCCAUGGCAGACACACCCGGAGUUCGCCAACAAGAAGGAGGAUAAGAAGGAGAAGGCGGCUGCCUCGGAGGAGAAGGUUGUGUACGGUGCAAUGGGCGGUCCUAUUGACAAGCUGGUGAGGCUCAUCUUCCCCGUGCAGGAGGUGAAGGAGAGAGACCCCAAGUGGGCAAAGCCGUGGCAGACACACCCUGAGUUCGCCAACAAGAAGGAAGAUAAGAAGGAGAAGAAGGAAGCCAAGGAGGAGAAGGUUGUGUACGGCGCGAUGGGCGGACCUAUCGACAGACUGGUGCGUCUGAUCUUCCCCGUGAAGGAGGUGAAGGAGAGGGACCCCAAGUGGGCGCAGCCGUGGCAGACACACCCUGAAUUCGCCAGCAAGAAGGAGGAUAAGAAGGAGAAGCCUGCCAAGGAGGAGAAGGUCGUCCAUGGAGACUUAGGAGGUCCUAUUGACAAGUUAGUUAGACUUAUCUUCCCCGUCAAGGAAGUGAAGGAGAGAGACCCCAAGUGGGCAAAGCCGUGGCAGACACACCCUGAGUUCGCCAACAAGAAGGAAGACAAGAAGGAGAAGAAGGAAGCCAAGGAGGAGAAGGUUGUGUACGGCGCGAUGGGCGGACCUAUCGACAGACUGGUGCGUCUGAUCUUCCCCGUGCAGGAGGUGAAGGAGAGGGAUCCCAAGUGGGCGCAGCCGUGGCAGACACACCCUGAGUUCGCCAACAAGAAGGAAGAUAAGAAGGAGAAGAAGGAAGCCAAGGAGGAGAAGGUUGUGUACGGCGCGAUGGGCGGACCAUUUGACAGACUGGUGAAGCUGAUCUUUGAAACAGUGAAGGAAGGCACCCCGCGUGACCCCAAGUGGGCCCAGCCUUGGCAGACACACAAGGAGCACCAGAAGCCAGCAUCAGCACAAGCACUCAAAGCCGUUCCUGCCCCACCACCUAAAGCCGAGCCAGAACCCAAGCCCAAACCUGCCAUGCCUGCCCCAGCACCCAAGGUCGAGCCAGAAGCCAAGCCUGAACCUAAGCCAGUCAAGGAAGAACCAAAGCCUGCACCUAAGCCCAAGGAAGAACCAGCACCUAAGCCAGUCAAAGAAGAACCAAAGCCUGAGCCAAAGCCAGCACCUAAGCCAGUGAAGGAAGAGCCAGCACCUAAGCCUGCUCCUAAGCCAGUGAAGGAAGAACCCAAACCUGAACCUAAGCCUGCCCCUAAGCCAGUCAAGGAGGAGCCUGCCCCCAAGCCUGCUAAGCCUGAGGAACCCAAGCCUGCCAAGCCUACAUUUCCAGCUGAAGGUCCAGCUCCAGCUCCUGCCGCACCCCCAGCUCCUAGCCCCCCACCAGCUGAUGUCCCCCAAGCCCCCAGGAAGCCGGUACUGGAGCAGGAAGCACCGAAGGCAGCACCCGCUCCUGCGCCGCCUGCACCAAAGGAGGAGGAGCCGAUAAUCGUGAAGGCUACCGGUCUGCGCUCACGUGACCACCUGGAGGCUAUUCUUGGACUAGACGAGGUGUCCAAGGAUGUGGCCUCUCGCGUCAACCCUAUCGCUGACGUGACCCUGAAGGAACUGAAGAAGGUCUAUGAAUCAACCAUCGUGCCUUUGGAAACUCUGUAUAAGUACCAGGACAUCUCUAACCGACACGUAUCUGACGCAGAGCUCUUCGGCACUCCUCUUGUCCUCCUGCUGGGGCCUUACUCCACCGGCAAGUCUACUUUCAUCAACUACCUGCUGGGAAUUGAGCACACCAGGCGAGCCCUCAAGACAGGCGCGCCCCCCAGCCAAGGUGUGUUCCGCGUGAUUCAGUACGGAGAGAGGGACGCUGAUUUUGACGGUACAGCUUUGAGCGCCGACUGGUCCUUUAAGUCCCUUCAGAAAUUUGGACAGAACUUCGUUGACCAGAUGCAAGGAAGGAGUCUACGUGAGCCUCUACUGAAGAAGGUGACCUUCGUGGAGGCACCGGGAAUCCUGGAAAUGAGGAGGCCCGGGGAGCGUAUCUACCCCCUCAAUGACGUGGUGCAGUGGUUCAUUGACCGCGCCGAUCUCAUCUUGGUCAUGUUCGACUACACCAAACUAGACGCCGGCUACGAGAUGGAGGCUGUGCUGGACCAACUCAAAGGACGCGAGGCUCAGACACGAAUCCUGCUAAACAAGGCUGACCAGGUACCUGCGGAGGAGCUCAUUAAGGUACAAGGCAGUCUCUUCUGGAACCUGAGUCCUCUCCUGGGUGUCUCCUCCCCUCCCACUGUCUAUGCCGGUUCCUUCACCUCUCAGCCCUACCGCGCCAGCUCCCCUGCUAAGCUGUUCCAAGCACAAGAGGAAGCUCUCCUCACCGACUUGGCCAGCGCUAUCAACUCGAGAGUGGAGAACCGUAUUGCCAUCGCUCGCCGCCACGCCGUGCGCGUGAGGAACCACGCCCAGAUGGUGGACACCUACUUGACCACCUUCUUCAAGAACAAAGGUUUCCUCACCUCCAAACACAAGCUGGCCGAGGACAUCAUCGAGAACCCUCACUCCUACAACAUCUACGAGGGCAUGAGUCUCCUCACGAACAUCUCCCGAUACGACUUGCCCGACCCCGAGGUGUACCGGGACUUCUUCAGGGUACACAAUCUGUACGACUUCCAGACGCUCAAGGCCACCUGCUCCUACUUCAAGGGUUGCCCGCUCACCAAGAUCGACGAGGCUAUCAGCACCGACCUACCGCAGCUGCUGGAGCGCUACCGCCGCCUGGUUGAGGUGGCCCUCACCACCCCCGCUUCCAAGGCUGGUAAAGCCGCCCCCGUGCCAGCACCGCCUGUCCGUGGCAACGUGCCUGCCGCCGCCACGGCCCGCACCUCCUGAACACUCACACCUCCCGGCGCCUAGGCUGCCCCGCUAGCCCGCGGGCCGGGGCGCCGCAUCACCACACCGCUGCCGUGUGAUACGACAAUGUUCACGUGAAACGUGACUCGUUCAGCGAGCACCGCCAGCAGCAGGCGGGAGUAUGGCGGGGCCGAAGGUCACGCCCCCGCCCUACCCCCGCACCGUGUCCCGCCCGGCACACCCUACUGGAGACUAGCGCCAGCCUGACGUCACGGAGAGGACGACUCCUUUCCGAACGGCGCCCGGCUGAGCCCCGUCCCCGCCCCCAUCGCUUCCCGUACCCUGGCGCCGCCGUGACCUGCAGGUGGGGCGCGGGGCAGGUGAGCAGGGCCCUGAAGCGGCCUGCCGCCCACACGCCACAUGGAGACCCAAGACUCACGCUACGCCGCACGCAGCACGCCUGCCGCUCAGGAAAGUAGCGACCCGAGCAUUCCAGUCCCGCUGAUGCCGCCGCCCCCGCGUCUGUGUCGGGACACGGCACCGCACGCCUCGAGGCUCCCCGUGCACCUGCCGGGGAGCGGCGGCCCCUAGACGUAAGCAUUGUGUUAAGAGGGAUGAGUUAUUCUAGUCAUUAUCAGCAGAGCUGCGACGCCUCGAGGCUUGCCUCGCUCUGCACCACUCUCUCACUGGAGCCGCGUCGGGCCGCAGCUGCUGCCGACGAGGGCGCAGCGGUGGACCCGACCCGCCCCGUUGCCCACUGGGCGAUGCGGGUGCGGUUGCUCCGCGACACACGAUACUCAGAUUUCGACCCCGCAGUGGACGGGGCGGCAGCAGCCCCCACGGCCCCCGCUGCCCCGCCCGCCCAGCUGACUGACUUGUUACUAAUUGUUACUAUUAUUAUUACUAGGUAGUUGUGAAAACUUGUUUUGUGUGUGUGUGUAUUUAGCUUAGAAAGUGAGGGGCGCCGUGCCGCUAUGCCCUCACGCCCGGCACUGUGCCCACACGCCGCAGCAAUAUAUAUAUAGCAGCAGAAGUAGCAGCAGCAGCAACACCAGUAGAUCCCCGCCUCGCCCGUGGCCCGUCCCUCGUGUCCGUAGUGUAGCCCAGACGAGGCCACCGCGGCUUGCCUCCCGCACAAGGAUAUAUUGUUCCCCGCAGUCACGCGCUGGGGCCCGCCUCCCGCCCGCGGCGCGCCCCUCCCAGUAGUCUGCACCACAUAGCUUACUGAACGCGGCGUGAGGGACCCGUGGACGCCCCAGUGGUCCAACACAAUCUUGCUCUUCGCAGACUUGCAGCUCAACCCGACACUGCGUCACGUCUCUGUACAAACUGACACUACACACCACGCCACAUCACGCCACGCCACACCACACCACACCACAGCCUGGUUGUGACCCACACACACACACACACACACACACACACACACACACACGACACCCAAUCCCUUCCCUAAAAAAGAAAAUGUUGACCUGCCAGUCCCAUGCGCCAGGGAGGUAAGGUCAGGUCAGGUCAGGUCAGGUUAGGUUAGGUCAGCUGUCCUUUGACCUUGUGAUAUGUGUGCACGUGUGUGCGUGUGUGUGUGUGUGUGUGUGUGUGUGUGUGUGUGUGUGUGUGUGUGUGUGUGUGUGUGUGUGUGUGUGUGUGUGUGUGUGUGUGUGUGUGUGUGUG